rfam:Oikopleura dioica, whole genome shotgun assembly, reference scaffold set, scaffold scaffold_20
AAACAGGCCCUUUUUAGGGCCACAAUUCUUUCGACAGAGGUCUCC